AACGAACGCUGGCGGCAGGCUUAACACAUGCAAGUCGAACGCCCCGCAAGGGGAGUGGCAGACGGGUGAGUAACGCGUGGGAAUCUACCUAGUUCUACGGAACAACAGAGGGAAACUUCUGCUAAUACCGUAUACGCCCUAAGGGGGAAAGAUUUAUCGGAAUUAGAUGAGCCCGCGUAAGAUUAGCUAGUUGGUGGGGUAAUGGCCUACCAAGGCGACGAUCUUUAGCUGGUCUGAGAGGAUGAUCAGCCACACUGGGACUGAGACACGGCCCAGACUCCUACGGGAGGCAGCAGUGGGGAAUAUUGGACAAUGGGCGCAAGCCUGAUCCAGCCAUGCCGCGUGAGUGAUGAAGGCCUUAGGGUUGUAAAGCUCUUUCAGUGGGGACGAUAAUGACGGUACCACAGAAGAAGCCCCGGCUAACUUCGUG
rnacentral:rRNA from 1 species